ensembl:antisense Gm15945 predicted gene 15945
CUGGGGAGGCAGUGUGGCUGUCAGACACAGUCUGCUCCAAAUGGGGCUGGCUACUGCCUAAGUGAGCAGGAGGAACUCCUGGACAGGGCACAUGAGCCCUCUUCCCCAGGACACAGCCUGCAUGUGAGUUUAAAGCCCCAUCUGUGAAAACGUUCCUGUCCAGAUGUGGCCUCUAGAUGGGAAAGGGCACAUCUGCAAGGCUGUGUUUACUGAACGUGAAUGUGGAUCCUGUAUCAAGCUGGCCUGGAACCUACUAUGUAGACUAGACUGGAUCUGAACUCAGAGAUCUGCCUGUUUCUGCCUCCAUGAAUGCUUAAAGCAUGUCACUGUAUCCAGCAGAACUGGGCACUUUGAAAGGGUAAACUGUGUGCCGUGAAAAUUAGCUCCACCAACUGCUCAAAACAAAAUCCAGGAAGAGCCGUAGGAGCCUGGGAGCCCUGCAAGCGGUGACCCUGCAGUGUGCAGCCGGCGUCAGAGGCUACGGCCACACCUUACACAGCUCUGUAAUCAUAUUACUUCUGUGUAUGAGGAAUGAAGUUUUCAAAGAUCGCAACAGAGAAUCUCAAGGUCAAGGCUGACCAGAGCUCGGCCCUGGCCCCAGGGUCACGGCUUUCAGGGCAGCAGCCCCACACAUACCUUUUGGGUUUGCUGUCCCCUCUCAUUCUCAGGUCAGUCUCUGCUUUCUGCAGCUCUACCUGUGCCUCAGCCACCUGUGCCUUCUUUGUCUCAAUCUGUGAAAAAGCAAACGCUUUCAGGACUGCUUCCAUCCCCACCCAGACUUGUCCUGAGGACUUCCAACCAUAGCUGUUA